rnacentral:rRNA from 1 species
GCGCAGCAGGCGCGAAACCUUUACAAUGCACGAAAGCGCGAUAAGGCCAUACCGAGUGCCAUCCGCUGAGGGUGGCUUUUCUCCGGUCUAAAUAGUCUGAGGAAUAAGGGGAGGGCAAGCCUGGUGUCAGCCGCCGCGGUAAUACCAGCUCCCCGAGUGGUCAGGACGAUUAUUGGGCCUAAAGCAUCCGUAGCCGGCGUCGUUUGUCUCUUGUUAAAUCCAACGGCCCAACCGUUGGAAUGCAGGGGAUACCGCGGAGCUAGGGGGCGGGAGAGGCGGACGGUACUCCAGAGGUAGGGGUAAAAUCCUUUGAUCUAUGGAAGACCACCAGUGGCGAAGGCGGUUCGCUAGAACGCGCCCGACGGUGAGGGAUGAAAGCUGGGGGAGCGAACCGGAUUAGAUACCCGUGUAGUCC